GUCGACGAAGGGCGGUGCGAAGACAUAGACGAGUGCCGGAGAGGCAACGGAGGCUGCGAACACCAGUGCCUGAAUACCCCGGGGUCCUUUACCUGCUCCUGCCCCCCCGGCUUCCGCUCGGUCGACGAAGGGCGGUGCGAAGACAUAGACGAGUGCCGGAGAGGCAACGGAGGCUGCGAACACCAGUGCCUGAAUA